GAUGAACGUUGGCGGCGUGCCUAAUACAUGCAAGUCGAACGAAGACUGUAGUAAUACUGUCUUAGUGGCGAACGGGUGAGUAACGCGUGGGUGACCUGCCCCGAAGUGUGGGAUAACAGUUCGAAAGAACUGCUAAUACCGCAUAACAUCCAAGAGAUUAGAAGCUUUUGGAUUAAAGGAGUAAUUCGCUUCGGGAGGGGCCCGCGUCCCAUCAGCUAGUUGGUAAGGUAAUGGCUUACCAAGGCGAUGACGGGUAGGGGACCUGAGAGGGUGGCCCCCCACAAUGGAACUGAAACACGGUCCAUACACCUACGGGUGGCAGCAGUAGGGAAUAUUAGUAAUGGGCGAAAGCCUGAACUAGCAACGCCGCGUGUGCGAAGAAGGCCUUCGGGUCGUAAAGCACUUUUUGAGAGGAUGAGGAAGGACGGUACUCUCAGAAUAAGUCUCGGCUAACUACGUG
rnacentral:rRNA from 1 species